CCAACGGCUCUUUUAAGAGCCACCCACUUCUUUCUUAAAAGGGCUG
rfam:Egretta garzetta contig62059, whole genome shotgun sequence.